UACGUAGGGUGCGAGCGUUGUCCGGAAUUAUUGGGCGUAAAGGGCUCGUAGGCGGUCUGUCACGUCGGGAGUGAAAACACGGGGCUUAACCCCGUGCCUGCUUCCGAUACGGGCAGACUAGAGGUAUGCAGGGGAGAACGGAAUUCCUGGUGUAGCGGUGAAAUGCGCAGAUAUCAGGGGAACACCGGUGGCGAAGGCGGUUCUCUGGGCAGUAACUGACGCUGAGGAGCGAAAGCGUGGGGAGCGAACAGG
rnacentral:rRNA from 1 species